GAAAUGCGAUAAGUAGUGUGAAUUGCAGAAUUCAGUGAAUCAUCGAUUCUUUGAACGCACAUUGCGCCCGCCAGUAUUCUGGCGGGCAUGCCUGUUCGAGCGUCAUUUCAACCAUCAAGCCCCGGGCUUGUGUUGGGGACCUGCGGCUGCCGCAGGCCCUGAAAAGCAGUGGCGGGCUCGCUGUCACACCGAGCGUAGUAGCAUACAUCUCGCUCUGGGCGUGCUGCGGGUUCCGGCCGUUAAACCACCUUCGUAACCCAAGGUUGACCUCGGAUCAGGUAGGAAGACCCGCUGAACUUAAGC
rnacentral:misc_RNA from 1 species